CUUGUUGGUGACGUAAUGGCUCACCAAGGCGACGACGGGUAGCCGGCCUGAGAGGGCGACCGGCCACACUGGGACUGAGACACGGCCCAUACUCCUACGGGACCCAGCAGUGGGGAAUAUUGGGCAAUGGAGGAAACUCUGACCCAGCGACGCCGCGUGAGGGAUGAAGGCCUUCGGGUUGUAAACCUCUUUCAGUAGGGAAGAAGCGAAAGUGACGGUACCUACAGAAGAAGCACCGGCUAACUAUGUGCCAGCAGCCGCGGUAAUACAUAGGGUGCAAGCGUUGUCCGGAAUUAUUGGGCGUAAAGAGCUCGUAGGUGG
rnacentral:rRNA from 1 species